AUGGACAACGCACACACAAAGACGGUUGAAGAAGUUUACAGCUUUUUUAACGUGAAUGAAAGCACAGGUCUGAGUUUGGAGCAAGUGAAGAAACAACGGGAACGAUAUGGACCAAACGAAUUGCCAGCUGAGGAGGGUAAAUCCCUUUAUGAACUUGUGAUUGAACAGUUUGAAGAUUUGCUUGUGAGGAUCCUUUUACUUGCUGCCUGCAUAUCCUUUGUGCUGGCCUGGUUUGAAGAGGGAGAAGAAACCAUUACAGCCUUUGUGGAGCCUUUUGUUAUCCUGCUUAUUCUCAUAGCAAAUGCCAUUGUAGGAGUCUGGCAGGAGCGAAAUGCAGAAAAUGCCAUUGAAGCACUUAAGGAGUAUGAGCCAGAGAUAGGGAAGGUGUACCGCCAGGACAGGAAAAGUGUCCAGAGAAUCAAGGCCAGGGACAUUAUCCCUGGGGACAUCGUGGAGGUUGCAGUUGGUGAUAAAGUGCCAGCAGACAUUAGGCUGUCGUCUAUCGUGUCAACAACACUGAGGGUAGACCAAUCAAUUCUUACAGGAGAGUCUGUGUCUGUGAUCAAACACACUGACCCUGUACCAGACCCGCGUGCUGUCAACCAGGACAAGAAGAACAUGCUCUUUUCUGGAACCAACAUUGCAGCUGGUAAGGCUAUUGGUGUGGUGGUGGCCACUGGCGGCGCCACAGAGAUUGGCAAAAUCCGAGAUGAGAUGGCAGCAACGGAGCAGGAGCGCACACCACUGCAGCAGAAGCUGGAUGAGUUUGGACAGCAACUAUCAAAGGUUAUUACACUGAUCUGCAUUGCUGUGUGGAUCAUCAAUAUUGGACAUUUCAAUGAUCCUGUCCACGGAGGCUCCUGGAUCCGAGGUGCUGUCUACUACUUCAAGAUUGCUGUGGCUCUGGCAGUUGCUGCUAUCCCUGAGGGUCUGCCUGCUGUCAUCACUACUUGCCUGGCUUUAGGAACACGGCGCAUGGCCAAGAAGAAUGCUAUUGUCCGCAGUUUGCCGUCUGUGGAGACCCUUGGCUGUACAUCUGUCAUCUGCUCUGACAAGACCGGCACGCUGACCACCAAUCAGAUGUCUGUGUGCAGGAUGUUUAUCCUUGAUCAGGCAGAGGGUGAUCACUGCUCAUUAAAGGAAUUUACUAUCACUGGCUCCACAUAUGCCCCGGAUGGAGAAGUGUACCAUGAUGGCAAAACAGUCAAAUGUUCCCAGUAUGAUGCCUUAGUGGAGCUAGCCUCUAUCUGUGCUCUCUGUAAUGAUUCCUCAUUGGACUUCAAUGAGACCAAAGGUGUGUAUGAAAAGGUGGGUGAGUCCACAGAGACGGCUCUCACAUGCUUGGUGGAGAAGAUGAACGUGUUUGAUACAGAUGUCAAAGGCCUGUCCAAGAUUGAGAGAGCCAACGCCUGUAAUUCUGUAAUCAAGCAGCUGAUGAAGAAAGAGUUUACACUGGAAUUUUCCAGAGACAGGAAGUCCAUGUCUGUGUACUGCACUGCUAAUAAGGCCCGGUCCUCUGUUGGCAAGAUGUUUGUAAAGGGUGCCCCUGAGGGAGUGAUUGACAGGUGCACACACAUCCGUGUAGGCAGUAACAAGGUGCCCCUGACCCCUGGCAUCAAGGAAAAAAUACUGUCGGUGAUCAGGGAAUAUGGCAGUGGCAGAGACACUCUGCGCUGUCUGGCUCUCGCCACCCGAGACCAGCGCAUGAGCAAAGACGAGCUGGUGUUGGAGGACUCCACCCGCUUCAUUGAGUAUGAGACUGAUCUGACAUUUGUUGGCUGUGUGGGCAUGCUGGAUCCUCCCAGGGCAGAGGUGGCAGCCUCUAUUAGACUCUGCCGCCUUGCAGGCAUCCGAGUAAUUAUGAUCACUGGAGACAACAAGGGGACGGCAGUGGCUAUCUGCAGACGUAUUGGUAUUUUUGGAGAGGACGAUGAUGUUUCCAGCAUGGCAUUUACUGGCCGAGAGUUUGAUGAUCUCUCUCCUGCUGCUCAAAGAGACGCUGUGGUCAAGGCCCGCUGCUUUGCCCGUGUUGAGCCUUCACAUAAAUCUAAGAUUGUUGAGUAUCUGCAGUCCUAUGAUGAGAUUACAGCUAUGACUGGUGAUGGAGUCAACGAUGCUCCUGCUCUAAAGAAGGCUGAAAUUGGUAUUGCCAUGGGCUCAGGCACAGCUGUGGCCAAGACCGCCUCUGAGAUGGUGCUGGCUGAUGACAACUUUUCCACCAUUGUAGCUGCAGUUGAGGAAGGCAGAGCUAUUUAUAACAACAUGAAACAGUUCAUCAGAUACCUCAUCUCUUCAAAUGUGGGCGAGGUUGUCUGCAUCUUCCUGACUGCAGCUCUGGGGUUCCCUGAAGCCCUUAUCCCUGUUCAGCUGCUCUGGGUCAACCUGGUGACUGAUGGUUUGCCUGCCACUGCUUUAGGCUUCAACCCACCAGACUUGGACAUCAUGAGUAAGCCACCACGCAACGCCCGUGAGCCCCUCAUCUCUGGAUGGCUCUUCUUCAGAUACCUAGCCAUUGGAUGUUAUGUUGGGGCGGCCACUGUUGGUGCUGCUGCCUGGUGGUUUGUUGCUGCUGAGGAUGGUCCAAGGAUCACCUUUUACCAGCUGAGCCACUUCCUGCAGUGCAGUCCAGACAAUCCAGACUUUGCAAAUCUAGACUGUAAGGUGUUUGAGUCCCCUUACCCUAUGACCAUGGCUCUGUCUGUGCUGGUUACCAUUGAGAUGUGCAAUGCCCUGAACAGUGUGUCAGAGAACCAGUCCCUGGUGAGGAUGCCUCCCUGGGACAACGUGUGGCUGCUGGGAGCCAUCUGCCUCUCUAUGUCCCUUCACUUCCUCAUCCUCUAUGUGGAGCCUCUUCCAAUCAUCUUCCAGAUCACCCCUCUGAAUAUGACACAAUGGCUGAUGGUGCUCAAGAUCUCACUGCCUGUUAUUCUACUUGACGAGAUUCUCAAGUUUGCCGCCAGGAACUACCUGGAGCCCGGUAAAGAACUGGAGAAGCCUGCCAGCUGCAAAGGCUGCUGCCUGUCUGCAUGUAUGGAGGGCAUCUCCUGGCCCUUCGUGGCCAUUUCCUUCCCUUUGGUCCUCUGGAUCUACAGCACCGACACUAACAUGGCCGACAUGUUCUGGUCCUGACUGACUUGAGCACAACCUCGACUUUUCCAUUUCCUCCCCACCCCCCCCACCACCAUCACCUCCCUCUGUCCUCUCCCUUUUCCCUCUCUGCCUUCCAACAUGUGAUUAGCUUGCGUGUGUGCGUGCGUGUUUGUAGAGUUAGCGCGUGUACUUGUGCGUGCCUACCGUGUGUGUGUGUGUGUACGAGAAGGACCAACUUUAACAUGAAACGUAACAAAUAAUAUAUGUUAAUAUUGAAAAGUCACCUGGUUUGAGUUGGGAUAGGAUUUUUGAAUGGGUGAGGCUUUAAAUGCGAGUGUCAGAAGACCAUCACUCUAGUAGUUGUGUUGCUGGUUUGAAAGAAAAUAUACUGUUUUUUUUGUUUUUUUUUUAUUAUUAUUGUUGUCAAUAUUGCCUUUAAGGUUUAUAUUUUUAAAUGAUUUGGGGAAUAUCAGUUGUCUUAUGUCACUACAGUAACAACAGCAAAUAGUUUUGUUUAGCUUCCCUCUUCAUGAAAAGAAAGUUAAGAUAUCCGAAAUCAGUUGAUCUGUACAGAGAUUGAAUUUUAUGCAACUUUUUUUUUCUAAAUGACUUUGUCAAUUGUUUGAUCAGCGUGGCUUAGAUAUACCGCCUUCGUUUAUUUUCUCAUGUUUACCAUUGUGUCUUCAGUAUAAACUCAGAACUCUUUCAGAGAGGACAAGCUCCGUGUGGCAGACGAGGACUGGGAAAGGUUUGGGAGUGAACAAUUGAAUGCUCCGCUUAAACAAAUGAAAAAGAUCUUGAAAAACAAAGCCGCAUGUCCUGUGACCAAGCAUGAACUGUAUGUGGUUUCUCAUUUCUAAUUUAAUUGUAUAUGUCCCCCGCCCCUCAAGUAUAAAUUAACCUCAUGGAUGUUUUUUUUACUACAAUGAUUUGAAAAUAAGCCAGUUUUUCUGCACUGGGCAGAGCACAGCUACCUCAAUAUGAUAAAAAGAUAUGUUUUUUUUGCUCAUCUCUAAAUGCUUUUCCUAAACAGUCUUGCUAAAGCGUAACAUUUGAGGUGUGCCCCUAUUUGCUUGUGCAGAAAAAAAGAACAUUUCCCUUCCCUCUUAACAUGUUUAAGGAUAUAUUUUGUUUGUAUUGAUUUUUGACUUUCAUUAACUUUAUUUGUGUUUUGCUUUGGAGAUGGAACUGAGUGGGGGUGAUGUAUGUUAAUUACCAUCUCCAUAGCGUUUGAUUCAAAGGACCGUAAUAAUAAAAUCUGAAGAAAAAUUACUAAUACAGAAAGGAGUCCAAAUGAAAUUGGAUUGCGAUUAACAACCCAAAAUGUUUUUUUUUUACUUCAAGAAAAAAAAAAAAUACCCUCAUAAACCCUUUGAAUCAAAGUGUUUUCUGUCUUCAUUUAAUACGAUUUUAAGGCCAAUUGUUAUCAACGUUCUUCAUAUCCAGUGAGUUGUGUGUGUGUGUGAAAAUCAUUUCAGACCUAUGAAUGCUUCAGUGUCUUUAGUACAACAUGACCGGCAAAGAGAUACAGCAAAGCAGAUCUUGUGAAUAUUUUGACUCUUACAGGCUUUAAUAUUUAGAGGUUUUCGUUUGUGCUGGGAUUAGCACACUUUGUGGUAGUGUGAACAUGCUGGAUCAGAGGCCAUACAGUCAACUGGACUAAUCUUAGACCACUUAAGCAUUAUUUUAUUAUUAUUUUAUUUUAUGUGUAAAUUUCCAUGUGAUAAUUCUAAAGCAUGUUUUUUGGGGUAGAAGCCUGGGUUUGUUUGCACUGAGUGUUUGUGUUCCACUUAACAACUGUGCGCUUUUCUUCCUCAAUGCCUUCCAUUGGCUCACCUGUCACUAGAGUUGGCUCUCAUAAAAGCGUUGCAAAUUAUAAGAGUGGGCUCAGAGGCUGGAGUCGUCCUACUCUCCAGCAUGUGUGCUCACUAAUAAGUUCACACACCCCAGACACGACGACCAGCAGUGUACCCUUGCACAGACAAAAAGGACGUUUUUACAGUAAUAAGACCAAAUACAUAACUUAAAAGUGGUUGGGCUGGAAAACAGUUACCUUUGCCCUAAUGCACCACAACCCACACACACUUCUUAACAUACUUAUACCUCUGUGUGCAGAUGCUAUAUCAAUAUGACACUAUUCCAGUUUUGUGUGCAGGGAAGCGUUCAAUACCCUCAAUGUUCCUUCUUGCAUGAAGAACUUCCAACUUCCAUGUUAGCUUGUCACAUAGAUAAUCUUUAACACUGGGUUGAAUGGUCUUGGCUGUACAUCAGUGUACAAAACAUUCAUGCAUGCGUUUCCAGCUGUAUGUAGGCUUUGCAAUUUGUAUUUAUAGAUUAUAAUGUAUAAUACUCUGACAUUAAGAUGGAUAUACCAUAGAUAUGUAAAUCACUGUUUUUAUUGUAACGGUGUGGGUAAUUUGCACAAUAUUAGACAUGGAAAAGUGAUUCAUGCUGAACUUGACCGUGCUCUACUUGAGUUUUUUAACUUUAAUUUCCCCCUUUUGAAAACUACUGUAGGCCGAUCACUGAUCCAUUUACUUUCUGAUGUAGUCCUUUGUAAUGAGGACAACAGACUAACACUUUGAUUCAUUGGUAAUCCUGUAGUACAGCAGUGUUCUUCUGUUGCCUCUGCAUUACUAUUAUUAUUAUUAUUAUCAUGUAUCUUUACCAACUGCUGUAAAACUGUGAUCUAAGGUGAGGGGGCGUUUGCAGUCCCCUCAGCAAAACCUGGUUGAAGAACAAUAUUAAGCAUAUGUAAAAAGAUGAUCAUUAUUGAUUACUUAAUAAUGGUUGUACAUGCAUUACUGAGGUUGUGGUUUCAGGUAAAUAAAACAAUAUAGUAUUUGAA